rnacentral:sRNA from 1 species
UUCUUCUGCAGGUGGAUCAGAACUGUGUUCGCAAUUCUUAUGAUGUCUUCUCUUUGCUACGAAAUAUCCUGCUUUUGCCAGUUUAAUAAGUGGAAGUAUGGUGGAAAAUAAAGGGCUUUGGUCCUUCACCUAAAUUCCAGUCCUAAAACUGCCAUGUGUAGGUAAACUGGAUGCAAGACUUUGAGCAAGUAACGUCAACUUUUUGUAUACCUUAGUCUGCUUUUGUAAAAUGGGGCUAAUAUUUGUCUCUUCUAUUAGGAAUAUUGUUAGAAUUAAAUAAGAUAAAAUAUUUGAAAGAUCUUAGGAUAGUUACUGGCAUAUAGUAGACAUUUAAUAAAUGUUAGUUUUCUUCUUCCUCUUUACUUACCUGGUCUUGGAUAUAGCUUUCUCCUCUAAGCCAGUAUUCCUUUUCCUUGUUACCACUAGCUUUUCUACUUUUCAGCAUAUUUUUCCUUUCUCUCCCCAGCAUUCUAGUGUUUUCCAUAUCUGCUUUUAUAACUGCAUGAUGGAUUCUUCUUGCUCACUGCCCAGAAAAGUCAAUGCAUUGAGAACAGGUUUUGCAGCAAAGAAAGAGUUUAAUUAUUACAGGGCCAGCCAAAUGGAAGGAUGGGAGAUAAUUCUCAGAUCCGCUUCCUCAGAAUUCACAGGCUAGAGUGUUUCAAGGAUAGUUUGGUAGGCAGGGGUCUAGGAAAUGGGGAAUCCUGAUUAGUUGG